GAGGGCAUAGCUUAGUGGUAGAGCAUGUGCUUGGCAUGCACGAGGUCCUGGGUUCAAUCCCCAGCACCUUUG
rnacentral:tRNA from 1 species